rnacentral:rRNA from 1 species
GGCUACGGCCAUGCCACCCUGAACAUGCCCAAUCUCAUCUGAUCUCGGAAGCUAAGCAGGGUCGGGCCUGGUUAGUACUUGGAUGGGAGAUCACCUAGGAAGACCAGGUGCUGUAGGCA